rnacentral:rRNA from 1 species
GAUGAACGCUAGCUACAGGCUUAACACAUGCAAGUCGAGGGGCAGCAUAUCGAAAGCUUGCUUUUGAUGAUGGGGACCGGCGCACGGGUGAGUAACGCGUAUCCAACCUUCCCCUUAGUAGAGGAUAGCCCGGCGAAAGUCGGAUUAAUACUCUAUGUUGUUCAAUGCGGACAUCUAAGUUGAACCAAAGGUUUACCGCUAAGGGAUGGGGAUGCGUCUGAUUAGGUUGUUGGCGGGGUAACGGCCCACCAAGCCCACGAUCAGUAGGGGUUCUGAGAGGAAGGUCCCCCACAUUGGAACUGAGACACGGUCCAAACUCCUACGGGAGGCAGCAGUGAGGAAUAUUGGUCAAUGGACGGAAGUCUGAACCAGCCAAGUAGCGUGCAGGAUGACGGCCCUAUGGGUUGUAAACUGCUUUUGUAUGGGAAUAAAGUCGGGGACGUGUCCCGUUUGUAUGUACCGUAAGAAUAAGGACCGGCUAAUUCC